GACGAACGCUGGCGGCGUGCUUAACACAUGCAAGUCGAACGGAAAGUCCCUGCUUUUGUGGGGUGCUCGAGUGGCGAACGGGUGAGUAACACGUGAGUAACCUGCCCCUGACUUUGGGAUAACUUCAGGCAACUGGGGCUAAUACCGGAUAGGAGUUCCUGCUGCAUGGUGGGGGUUGGAAAGUUUCGGCGGUUGGGGAUGGACUCGCGGCCUAUCGGAUUGUUGGUGGGGUAGUGGCUUAGCAAGGCCUGGACGGGUAGCCGGCCUGAGAGGAGAACCGGACAAAUUAGAAUGGGAAUGCGACCCGGACUCGUCUGGGACGCAGGGGAGGAGAAGGGAGCAUAAUAGGCGGAGGCAAGGUGUGACAAAGCCGUGUGGGGGAAGACAGCAAGGGGGUAGUGAUGCACUGUCGCCUGUGACGAGGCGUGAGUGACAGUAAUGGGUGAAGAAGCACCGGCUAACUACGUG
rnacentral:rRNA from 1 species